rfam:Candidatus Nomurabacteria bacterium RIFCSPLOWO2_12_FTLL_46_14 rifcsplowo2_12_scaffold_20267, whole genome shotgun sequence.
GGGCCUAUAGUCAAGUAGCACGACGCGUCAUUCGCAUUGACGAAGCCCGGGUGCAAUUCCCGGUAGGUCCA